AGUGAACGCUGGCGGUAGGCCUAACACAUGCAAGUCGAACGGAUCCUUCGGGAUUAGUGGCGGACGGGCGAGUAACACGUGGGAACGUGCCCUUUGGUUCGGAACAACUCAGGGAAACUUGAGCUAAUACCGGAUGUGCCCUUCGGGGGAAAGAUUUAUCGCCAUUGGAGCGGCCCGCGUCUGAUUAGCUAGUUGGUGAGGUAAAGGCUCACCAAGGCGACGAUCAGUAGCUGGUCUGAGAGGAUGAUCAGCCACAUUGGGACUGAGACACGGCCCAAACUCCUACGGGAGGCAGCAGUGGGGAAUCUUGCGCAAUGGGCGAAAGCCUGACGCAGCCAUGCCGCGUGAAUGAUGAAGGUCUUAGGAUUGUAAAAUUCUUUCACCGGGGACGAUAAUGACGGUACCCGGAGAAGAAGCCCCGGCUAACUUCGUGCCAGCCGCCGCAGUAA
rnacentral:rRNA from 1 species